UACGUAGGGGGCGAGCGUUGUCCGGAUUCAUUGGGCGUAAAGCGCUCGCAGGCGGCGCGCCGCGUCUCGCGUGAAGGCCCUCGGCUCAACCGAGGGUGGUCGCGAGAUACGGGCGGGCUGGAGGUAGGUAGGGGGACGCGGAAUUCCCGGUGUAGUGGUGGAAUGCGCAGAUAUCAGGAAGAACACCCGUGGCGAAGGCGGCUCUCUGGGACGGUACUGACGCUGAGGAGCGAAAGCAUGGGGAGCGAACAGG
rnacentral:rRNA from 1 species